CUUGUGGUACAUUUGAGAUCUGGAGUAUUUACCCACACCCCUAAUCAGGUCGGGGUUCCUGCUAACCUUUGGAGUCUUCCUUGGCGCCAUUGAUGAAACUUGGUAGUCGGCGAUGGGGGGCUCAGGGUUUCCGCAGCAAAUUACACUCUAGGCUUUUGAUACAUAUGGCGGACAGUUAAAUUAUAUAUGAGAAAGGGGAAUCCCUAAAACCCUAGCCAAAAUGGGUUAAUUUACACCUUGAGUCCGAACAUUUUGUCCCAUUACAUAGAUAUCUCAGAAGUUUAAAAUCCGUCACAUCAGGCCCAAAUGUUAAUACCACUUCAUCUUAGCAAUUCCAUCCGAUUCCGUCAAUAAUUUCCAUCCAACUCACCUCAUGGGACAGCUUUCAUGUCAACCUUUCGCCCACUUACUGCCCAAUAAUGAGUUUUUUUUUUGAGAAACGAUUAUUCGACAUGUUAAUUUUUUAUAAUUUAGUUUACUUAAAUUUCGAUUUUGUGUCAACGAGUGAGUGUCUCAGUGGUAGGACAAAGAGAUUGUUGAUCGCGAGUGCGCAGGUUCGAUUCAUCACUCCGCUGAGGAUUUCUUCUAAGACAUUUCGAACCCGACUUCGGCUGAGUAAACGGGAUAGUACGCCCCGAGAUUUGACUUGAAUCUGGCAUCACUCUAUGUGGUGACCGGGUAGGGUAUUCCACGUCAUCAAAAAAAUCGAUUCUAUGCAAGGACAAGUUCCCACAUAAAACGAUUAAAUAUUCUUUUCCUGAAAACAACCUACUACGUUAUCUUUUAACUCCACCUUAAUAAUUGAGUCCAGAAUGAGUUAUUGGGCGAAAAAACUGAUGUGGAGAGAUGAGAUGACUAUUCCAAAAGGUAACAUAGACGAUAAUUAUCAAAAGCGUCCGACGAAAAUGUGAGAUCAAAUUGUAUCAACGUCGGGGACUGGCAUGGUGGAUUAUAAAACUUGAUGAAAAUGGGAGAUCGAGUUGUAUCAACGUCGGGGACUGGUGACGACGGAUUAUGAAACUUGGAUACCGUCAUAGCAAUAUGCGGAAACAUUCGGGACUCUUGAUGUCAAUUACAUGAUGUAGUGGCUAAAGCGUUUUGGGCUUUUAAGGUGUAAAAGAUGUCUGUUGGGCCUAAUGACCCAUUCGGUUUGGUAACUUGUUUAAUGUUUAGCCUAAUUUCAAAAUAUUCAUAUCCAAGCCUUACGAAGUAUUGCUGGAGUUAUUGCUGUGUUCGUCAACAGUGAAGGAGCAGGCAGCUGGACAUCAAUGGAGGAGAAGAACAAGAUAGUAUAGUUUAACAGUUAAUGCAAAAAACUCCAGAUUAUAGCAUUUGUAACAAAUUGUCAUUAAACCAAAAAGCAAGUUGUCUAUCACAAAAUUAUAACUCACUACAAACAUUUAGAAUCUGCUGGUCCAAACAAAACUCGAGCUGACAAAAGGAAACGGUUCAAACAAUCUCUGCUUAAAACACAAGCUCAUGGGGCUUCAUGCCUGCCUUCAAAGAGAAUCUUGCACCCAAGUAGGACUUCAAAUCUGGGACAGCCUCAACUGCCUUGAGCAAAGCAGCAUCAACUGACUUCUGGUCAUCCUUCUUGCCUUGGGGAAGCUCACUCUUCUCCUGUACAUAGAAGGAAACUGUCAAUAACUUUAUGAAAGUUUCAGCAAUUCACAUGGACAUGAAAUUUCUUAACAAAGAUACCUCCUUCUCUUCCUCGAAGAAUUCUCCCUCGCUCUUCUUCUUCUUCUUUUCACCAGUCUUGGCAAAGUAUUUGUCGUCAAACUUAUCCACGUUAGCGCCAGAAAUGUCGAGCUUUGUGGAAGUUCCGAUGACGUAUGCUUGGUUUACCCGCCUCAGAGGAACCCCAUUGAUCUUGAAUGGCCCUGCAUAAGAUGUCCACAUGUUAGUGUUAAAAGUCAAAAUCAAAAUGCAUGGGCAGCAUCAAACUAGUAUACAAAACAGACAAAGCAUGUUCAUUUCCACAGUCACAAGUACCAAACUAGACAUCACCUAUUGCAACACAAAAAUUACAUCAAACUAUAAAGAGAUAUAACAAUCGAGAACAGCAGACACUUCAAUAGAGAGACUGGCAAUAAUGAAGUGAAAUUAAUAUCAACAUAAUAUCAGCAUGCUUCAUGAAUAACGCAUACUAAAGUUAAAGGCUGGAGUUUUACUAAAAAACAAUGUAUGCAGCACAAAAAGAUAUCUAUACUCAAAUGAUUAUGAUCUGUAAAGCAGCUGCAGUAGGAAUAGAACAUGAAAAUACUGACCAGUGACCAAAAGCAAGCCAGAAGGAAGCUGCUUGAGGAACACAACUCUCUUUCCUUUGAACCUUCCAGCAAGGAGGAUCAAAACAGUUCCUGGGGUGAUGCUAGCCCUGCAUGAGUGAACAAUAAAGUGGAAAUUAACAUAAAUAGAAUAAACGAACAAACAACUGCAUAUUACAAGUUAGCACAUAGGUUCGCAACAUAACCAAUUCAGUGAUGAACAGAUAUGAAAAGUCCUUAAUGAUUAAUUCAUGCAAUGAGGGAUGACAAAAAAUAACCAACAGAUCUAUACACAAAUUUAUCGGCGAUUUCGUCCAUAUUUACUGUACGAUAUGAAACUGUAUCAGCUAGAGAGGUAAACCAAAAAGCAAUACUUGAGCUUGGUGGGUUUGGGCUUGCGCCUGUUGGGAAGAGGAACUUUGACAUCGUCAGCAGGGUAGAACUUGGAGGCCUUCUCUGCAGGGGCGACGACCUUAGGUUUGGGAUCGUGCUUGGGGAAGAAACCGCCGUUCUUAGCCUUGAUUGCCCAUAAACCACGCUUGUGGUACAUUUGGGACCUGGAGUAUUUACCCACACCCCUGAUCAGGUCGGGGUUCCUGCUAACUUGUGGGGUCUUCCUCGGCGCCAUUGUUGAAGAUUGAGAGACGGCGAUGGGAGCUCAAAGUAUACGCAGGAUUCGGCGACUGAACAACAAAUUUAUAUAUGGAGAGUGGAGACCAGGAGAAGGAACCCUAAAA
rnacentral:lncRNA from 1 species